AUUAUGCAGGUUGAGUUAAACCCGGUCUGCCACAUGAUAUAUGACAUAUCAUGUCUUGAGAAAGAUCUUGACCUGAGGUUAAUGCCCUUCACCAAGAGAACCGUGUCAUCUCCCACUGUAAGUUGCAUCAAAGCCUUUACAUGUUCUCAACCACAUCCAUUUGACCUGAGCGAUGAAUAAGUUUUUAAUCAAUUAUAUGAAGAACUCUUCAGCAUGAUCACAGAAAGAGCAUAAAGGACUUGAUCAACUUAGCAAUCUUAGGCCCGAGUGUGAAGGGAGGCCUGAGAUGGUGGAGAGGAGAGUUGUCAUCUGCAGAGGAUAGAUGCCGAGUCGUUGGAGUGGCACGCACAAUUUCGCAGGCUUACGUGAGCCCUCUUAAAGGUCCUAGACAUCAAUUGGUUUGAUUUUAAGUAUUCAACUGGGGAAAUCACCCUAAAGUUGAAUAAAAUAACUUCCGAGCUGAAGGAAGCGAAGGUCGACUACACUUCUGUGACUGUCAUGCUAGAGCAGGCACUAAAGCUGCUGUGGGAGGAUUUCAUGCAUUCCAAUUACUUCGCAAUAUAAUUAUUUCUCGAAUCUUUGCUACAUUUUUCGUGAUCUUUCUAGACAAAUAUGUGGGAUCCUAUCAUAUGUUUCUUAUGCUGCUGCUGUUUCAGUAAACUACUUCAACCGGAUUUUGUAGCUUUCCUGAUACCAAACUGUUGUCCAAACUCAUAUUUUAGGAUAUAAAGUGCUUGAGCUUUACAAUCUUUGAUAUGGUUGAAAAUGCAUUGGGCAUUUCUUUCA